CUACGGGUUGCAGCAGUGGGGAAUAUUGGACAAUGGGGGAAACCCUGAUCCAGCAAUGCCGCGUGUGUGAAGAAGGCCUGCGGGUUGUAAAGUACUUUCGGUCGGGAGGACUGCUUCUAGCACUAAUAUUGUUGGAAGUUGACGUUACCUUCAGAAGAAGCACCGGCUAACUCCGCGCCAGCAGCCGCGGUAAUACGGAGGGUGCAAGCGUGAAUCGGAAUUACUGGGCGUAAAGCGCGCGUAGGCGGCUAGAUCAGUCGGGUGUGAAAGCCCCGGGCUUAACCUGGGAACUGCAUCCGAUACUGUCUAGCUUGAGUACAGGAGAGGAGAGUGGAAUUCCACAUGUAGCGGUGAAAUGCGUAGAUAUGUGGAGGAACACCAAUGGCGAAGGCAGCUCUCUGGCCUGAUACCGACGCUGAGGUGCGAAAGCGUGGGGAGCAAACAGGAUUAGAUACCCGCGUAGUC
rnacentral:rRNA from 1 species